rnacentral:rRNA from 1 species
GAGGAAGUAAAAGUCGUAACAAGGUCUCCGUUGGUGAACCAGCGGAGGGAUCAUUACUGAGUUUACGCUCUAUAACCCUUUGUGAACAUACCUAUAACUGUUGCUUCGGCGGGUAGGGUCUCCGCGACCCUCCCGGCCUCCCGCCUCCGGGCGGGUCGGCGCCCGCCGGAGGAUAACCAAACUCUGAUUUAACGACGUUUCUUCUGAGUGGUACAAGCAAAUAAUCAAAACUUUUAACAACGGAUCUCUUGGUUCUGGCAUCGAUGAAGAACGCAGCGAAAUGCGAUAAGUAAUGUGAAUUGCAGAAUUCAGUGAAUCAUCGAAUCUUUGAACGCACAUUGCGCCCGCCAGCAUUCUGGCGGGCAUGCCUGUUCGAGCGUCAUUUCAACCCUCAAGCUCUGCUUGGUGUUGGGGCCCUACAGCUGAUGUAGGCCCUCAAAGGUAGUGGCGGACCCUCCCGGAGCCUCCUUUGCGUAGUAACUUUACGUCUCGCACUGGGAUCCGGAGGGACUCUUGCCGUAAAACCCCCCAAUUUUCCAAAGGUUGACCUCGGAUCAGGUAGGAAUACCCGCUGAACUUAAGCAUAUCAAUAAGCGGAGGAA